CAUGCAGUCGAACGGCAGCACGGGGGCAACCCUGGUGGCGAGUGGCGAACGGGUGAGUAAUACAUCGGAACGUGUCCUGUAGUGGGGGAUAGCCCGGCGAAAGCCGGAUUAAUACCGCAUACGAUCUACGGAAGAAAGCGGGGGAUCGCAAGACCUCGCGCUAUAGGGGCGGCCGAUGGCAGAUUAGCUAGUUGGUGGGGUAAAGGCCUACCAAGGCGACGAUCUGUAGCUGGUCUGAGAGGACGACCAGCCACACUGGGACUGAGACACGGCCCAGACUCCUACGGGAGGCAGCAGUGGGGAAUUUUGGACAAUGGGGGAAACCCUGAUCCAGCAAUGCCGCGUGUGUGAAGAAGGCCUUCGGGUUGUAAAGCACUUUUGUCCGGAAAGAAAACCUUUGGGCUAAUACCCUGAGGGGAUGACGGUACCGGAAGAAUAAGCACCGGCUAA
rnacentral:rRNA from 2 species